GAAGAAGUUCUUUAUUUUUAAAUUGAAAUUAUUUAUAGCUCUAAAAUUUACAAUUUUUCUAUCUUACUUUGAAUAUAAGUAGGCGUUCAAAUUUUGGAAACAAAUUAUUAAUUCUUAGAACUGAAAUAAUUUCAAAAAACUAUGAGCAUUUCUUAUGACCAAUUUAUCAAGUAUGCAAUGGAUUUAAAAGCCCAUUCAGAUUUAAUAGAUGAUAAUUGGAUAAUCAGUGAAUAUGUUAAUCCUUUGGAAAACAAGAUUGUAAAAUAUCUUUCAAAAAAUCAAGUCUUAAAAGCAAAAAAAUGUGAUAUAGAUGAAAGUGGUUCAGAAUAUGAUAACACAAAUACUUUACUUGAUAUAAUGUGUGAGUACCAUGUUCUAUAUAGUCCAACUUACUGUUGUCCAGAUUUAUACUUUAAUAUGUGGUUCACAGAUGGAAGAUUACUGUCAUUAGAAAAUAUUUGGUCUUUAGUAAAUUUAUCAUUAAAAAAUAGUUUAAUCGCAGAUAAAUGGAAUGCUAUAACACAAAAAUAUCAUCCUAUGAAAAAUAUUCCAUUUUAUACGUUGCAUCCAUGUAAGACUACAGAAAUAAUAGAACUUUUAAGUUCUUCAACAAACUUGUAUACCAAUGAUGUUGAAAAUAGCUGCAGUCCAUUAAUAGCUUGGUUAAGCACUAUCAGCCCUCUAGUUGGUCUUAAUGUUGAUUUGUCUUAUGGUAUUCAUAAAAAAAAUAUACUAUAAUAGUAAUAUUGACAUUUUUUAAUAAAAGGGCACCUGAAUAACUCCACCACCGCCUUGUCCAGCUGAAGCCAAAAAGAAUUCUGGUAAACCAAUCAUUUUGGCUAACCAAUCCAUCAUUACCACUUCCAAUUCAGUACACGCAGGACUUGAAAUCUAAACAAUUUAAUGAGAUUUUAGUAUUCUAUGAGAUUAAACAUAUAAUUAAUAAUGUUGCUUACGCCCGGCAUGAUCAAUUUUUCGAUAUCAGUCAUAACAUCUUUCCAGUCAUCAGGGUCGUUUGGUGCUUCAGUAGGUAAUAGAGGACGCAGAUAACCAGGUUUUACCGAUGAUAAAACUUUUCUAAAAAAAAUUAUUAAUAAUAAUAUUGUGUUUCAUAAAGUAAUUGAGUGUAUUAUUAUUAAUAUUUAUUAUUUUUAAAAACUGUUAAUUUUAUUUAAAUAAAUUUAUUUAUUGAUAUUUUUUAUUUA